rnacentral:rRNA from 1 species
CGUGAGCGGCGGACGGGUGAGUAACGCGUGGGUAACCUGCCCCAUACAGGGGGAUAACAGUUGGAAACGGCUGCUAAUACCGCAUAAGCGCACAGUACCGCAUGGUACCGUGUGAAAAACUCCGGUGGUAUGAGAUGGACCCGCGUCUGAUUAGCUAGUUGGUGGGGUAACGGCCUACCAAGGCGACGAUCAGUAGCCGACCUGAGAGGGUGACCGGCCACAUUGGGACUGAGACACGGCCCAA